rnacentral:rRNA from 1 species
GACGAACGCUGGCGGCGUGCUUAACACAUGCAAGUCGAACGGAAAGGCCUCUUUCGGGGGGUACUCGAGUGGCGAACGGGUGAGUAACACGUGAGUAACCUGCCCUUGACUUUGGGAUAACUUCAGGAAACUGGGGCUAAUACCGGAUAGGAGCUCCUGCUGCAUGGUGGGGGUUGGAAAGUUUCGGCGGUUGGGGAUGGACUCGCGGCUUAUCAGCUUGUUGGUGGGGUAGUGGCUUACCAAGGCUUUGACGGGUAGCCGGCCUGGGAGGGUGACCGGCCACAUUGGGACUGAGAUACGGCCCAGACUCCUACGGGAGGCAGCAGUGGGGAAUAUUGCACAAUGGGUGGAGGCCUGAUGCAGCAACGCCGUGUGCGGGAUGACGGCCUUCGGGUUGUGAACCGCUUUCGCUCAUGACGAAGCUUUGUGUGACGGUAGUGGGUAAAGAAGCACCGGCUAACUACGUG